UGCUGAGGAUACGGUUAACGGAGCGAAAGCGACGUUCAACCUCAAAAGAAGCAGAGGGGGCUUAGUGGUGGGGUGACUGCGUACCUUUUGUAUAAUGGGUCAGCGACUUAUAUUCUGUAGCAAGGUUAACCGAAUAGGGGAGCCGGAGGGAAACCGAGUCUUAACCGGGCGUUAAGUUGCAGGGUAUAGACCCGAAACCCGGUGAUCUAGCCAUGGGCAGGUUGAAGGUUGGGUAACACUAACUGGAGGACCGAACCGACUAAUGUUGAAAAAUUAGCGGAUGACCUGUGGCUGGGGGUGAAAGGCCAAUCAAACCGGGAGAUAGCUGGUUCUCCCCGAAAGCUAUUUAGGUAGCGCCUCGUGAAUUCAUCUCCGGGGGUAGAGCACUGUUUCGGCUAGGGGGCCAUCCCGGCUUACCAACCCGAUGCAAACUGCGAAUACCGGAGAAUGUUAUCACGGGAGACACACGGCGGGUGCUAACGUCCGUCGUGAAGAGGGAAACAACCCAGACCGCCAGCUAAGGUCCCAAAGUCAUGGUUAAGUGGGAAACGAUGUGGGAAGGCCCAGACAGCCAGGAUGUUGGCUUAGAAGCAGCCAUCAUUUAAAGAAAGCGUAAUAGCUCACUGGUCGAGUCGGCCUGCGCGGAAGAUGUAACGGGGCUAAACCAUGCACCGAAGCUGCGGCAGCGACACUCAGGUGUUGUUGGGUAGGGGAGCGUUCUGUAAGCCUGCGAAGGUGGCCUGUGAGGGUUGCUGGAGGUAUCAGAAGUGCGAAUGCUGACAUAAGUAACGAUAAAGCGGGUGAAAAGCCCGCUCGCCGGAAGACCAAGGGUUCCUGUCCAACGUUAAUCGGGGCAGGGUGAGUCGACCCCUAAGGCGAGGCCGAAAGGCGUAGUCGAUGGGAAACGGGUUAAUAUUCCCGUACUUGGUGUUACUGCGAAGGGGGGACGGAGAAGGCUAUGUUGGCCGGGCGACGGUUGUCCCGGUUUAAGCGUGUAGGUGUGUGUUCCAGGU
rnacentral:rRNA from 1 species